CAGCACAAAUUUAUUUUCGUGCAGUUCUGGAGGCUGGAAGUGUGAGAUCAGAUGCCAGCAAGGUUGGAUUUCAGGGAGGAUGCUCUUCCUGUCUUGUACGUGACCGCCAUCUUGUGUAUCUUCAUAUGACAGACUGAGCUCUUCUCUUCUUAUAAGGAGAGUAAACCCAUUGUGGACCCACACCCUCAUCUGACCCUAAUGCCUUCCCAAAGGUGCCACUUCCUAAAGCUAUCCCACUGGGGGAGCAGGGCUUGAACCUGUGAACUCUGGGGUGGGGUGGAGAACAUGAUUCUCUCCAUGCAUCUAGCCUCUCCCAUUGUCAUAAGGAGCAUUGUCCUUCUCCUCACCCCCCACAUUUGGUACAUUUUCAGGCUGUGUCCGUUCUCUCCAAGGCAUAUGCUUCUAGUCUGCCCCAUAGUCUCCAUCAUGGUGGCCACCAGCCCAGACGCAGCUGCCCCCACCAACCCGGACCACAAUCACAGUCUACUUGAUGGGCUCACUCGCCCUUUCUCAUCAUUCUCCAAGCACUGAUGCAGACAGAGAUGCCAUGACUCCAUCGGCACGGACCCCCUUGAAUGCCGCCAGGCAUUAACCCAUCACACCAUCCAAGACCUGAUGAUCUCAUGCCUCGGCCUCCCCAUGUCUCCCGACCUGCCACCCACCCUCCCCGUGUCAGGCAUAUCACACUUCCCACAGGUCUUGGACCCACUCAGUCCUUCCUGCCUCCAAUAGAUACAUCAGAAGCAGUGAUUAUAGAAAUGACAGGAGAUGAACGCUGUCGACCAAGGACAUCCUCAGAGAAAAGUGAUGACAUGGGAGAUCUCACUGAAAACAAAAAAUGGAACCAAUUCUAGACAUAUUCUGGUGAAUUUCUCAAACCAGAUGAAAUAAAGAAAGCUCUCCAAGAGUCUACAGGGGACUAAACAGAACACAAGAGUCAAACUGGUCUGGCUUCAUUUCAUCUCAGACAUUAGAAAUGACACAGUGGGAUUGGAUUAUUUGACAUUGAUAGGGGGGCAAAAAAAAAAAUCAUUAUUAAGGAUUCCACAGGGAGACUUUCGGGGAAUGAGCCAUUUCUCCCCCAAAUACCAUUAAAAUAAUUUCAAAUACAGUUUGUGCAAUCCAUGUCAUGUCACGCAAUGAUUGUGCAGUGUGUCACAAAGCCCUGUUGGGUACAGGGAUCCACGUUAAGGAAUCCUACAGUGAAAUAUUCAUCCCCUAAAUCAAACAGUUUUUGUCACAGCUGAUGAUUGCUUCUGAAGCACUUGGAACACGGAAAGAGGGUUUCAAUCUUAAUCCGCACUUCAAAAAAAAAAAAAAAAAACUAAAAAACCGUAGGCAAAACAUAUGAUGAUUUGCAGAUGUCUUGCGAAAACCAGGGUGCAGAGAACGCAUCGAUGCCCUCACAUCUAUGAAGCCCUGGGACAGGGAAAAAAGAAAUAAUAACCCUUAAUAGGAUUUUCUGGCUAUGAGCAAAUAUAUUUGCAUUUUCCUCUCUGGGGGACAAAACUAGAAUUGGCUGAUUUUCAUGGGUUCAAUACUUCUCUCUGUAGCCUAGUGUCACUCAAAGAGCGGGGAGGUCUUCCCACAUUAAAAUUUAAGAUUGAAAACCUUUUUACGAAUUUACAUAUUUUCUGAAAUCCCCUCAAAUAUCAUAUGCUACCAAAAAAAAAAAAAUACAUUUGCUUGGGGAGGAUAAGGUGGGGUAUCUUAAGAACUGGGCAUCCGUGACUGUGCUGAUAUGGUUAUCCUUUAUCAUUUUGGAAAUUCAGGAUGCUCGUCUUACUUUACCGAGGACCCUGCCUAACACGUAGGACAUGGCAUUGGCGUGAACCAGUCCUGCAGAGACCAACACCCGUGCCAUCCAGGUCAACGAGAGCCGGAGAUCUGAUGACACACUCCGGUAGAAGAGUUCUCUCCCUUCACCCUGAGUGCACGCUUCCUGAACUGCCUCUUCUGGUCACCUCUGGCUCUCCUUCAUCUACCCGGGCAGGCUCUCGAUAAAUAAUUACUGAAGAGAGAGCGAAGGCUUGCCAACGUAGUGCUGUGUGAAUCUUGAGGCAGCCAAGAUUGAAUUCAUAAUGAGCCUGGGCAAUGGGGUUUGGUUUGGUUUGGUUUUAAUUCCAGCCCAACAUCUAUAUCCUUCUGGAGAUUCUACAACAGGAAUGCAAUUUCCACAUCCAACCUUCAGAUCUCUGUGGUCACGGAAGAGGCAGCUCAGCUGGGAGCCUUUCCAGCUCAAGAG